UAGACAAUUAAUCAAGUUAUUGAUUAUAAUUCCACGGAAUGGAUGGGCGUAUAAAUAUAUAUACACACACACUUAUUAUAUAUAUUCAUUUAUAUUGCUUUGACAUGAAUAAUUAAAUAAAUCAUUUACUUACCAAUAAAAAAGCGUUAACAAGUCAAUUGCAAAUAUAAAAUCUAUAUUACUGUCAUACAUUACUGUCUCUUCACUUCCCCCCUCUCUCUCUAUCUGAAAGGAAAAAAAAGAAAAAAAAAUUCAAAGCUAAGCGAGAGAAUUCAUCAGUUUUUGAAAAAAGAUUUAAGAGAAAAAAUCGAUUUUGAUUCGAUCAGUCACCAUCAGAUCCCACCUCCACCAGCGAUUGCCAUGUCCUCAACAACCACUGCUCAAUCCCUUCUUCUCCUCGCCUUUAUUUCCCUCCUUCUCCUCUCUCCUGCUCUCACCUUCGACGCAGAUCACAGGGAUUUAAAUGUUAGGUUGAUUGGUGUUCAUGGAUCGAGUUUUGAUUUUGCAAAUGGCAGUUGAUGCAUUACAAAUGCCGGGUCUCGUCUGGGUUUGCCUGGGUCGCCCAGGUCAUGGGUUGACCCGCCGGGUCGACCGGGUCUUGCCGGUUUUUUACACUUACCGGUCUUUUUCCUAACCCGGACCGGUCCAGCCACCGGGUCGACCCGCCGGGCCGGUUCGGGUUUAAUAACUAUGAUUCUCAACGAAUAUUUUUAGUUAGUAGCUCUGGGCCAGAUCAAUGGAUUAGAAAAAAGAGCUCAACUUAAUGGACCAAUAAUUAAAAUAAAUGUACGGGCCUCACAGUAAAAGCCUCCUUAAAGCAUAAUUUACUGUACUAUAAUAUUUUAAAAAUUGUAUUUGCACCACGUGUAUAAAUAGAGUUGAAACUAAAAUAAAAACUCAACUAAUUCAUGUAAUAUGCAAUGAUCGGAUUUUAAAUCACAAUUGAUGGCAGCAUGGAAUUACUAGAAAACAGAAA